rnacentral:rRNA from 1 species
GGAAUCUUGGGCAAUGGGCGAAAGCCUGACCCAGCCACGCCGCGUGCAGGAAGACACCCCUAUGGGGCGUAAACUGCUUUUAUAUGGGAAGAAGACCCUGUUCUUCAGGGUUUGACGGUACCGUAUGAAUAAGCACCGGCUAACUCCGUGCCAGCAGCCGCGGUAAUACGGAGGGUGCAAGCGUGGUCCGGAAUCACUGGGUGUAAAGGGUGUGUAGGCGGGAUUGUAAGUCAGAGGUGAAAGCCCACGGCCCAACCGUGGAAUUGCCUUUGAUACUGCAGUUCUUGAGUCUCGGAGAGGUUGUUGGAAUUCGUGGUGUAGCGGUGAAAUGCGUAGAUAUCACGAGGAACACCAGAGGCGUAGGCGAACAACUGGACGAGUACUGACGCUGAGGCACGAAAGCGUGGGGAGCAAAC